GAUGAACGCUGGCGGCGUGCCUAAUACAUGCAAGUCGAGCGAACAGACGAGGAGCUUGCUCCUCUGACGUUAGCGGCGGACGGGUGAGUAACACGUGGAUAACCUACCUAUAAGACUGGGAUAACUUCGGGAAACCGGAUCUAAUACCGGAUAAUAUAUUGAACCGCAUGGUUCAAUAGUGAAAGACGGUUUUGCUGUCACUUAUAGAUGGUUCCGCGCCGCAUUAGCUAGUUGGUAAGGUAACGGCUUACCAAGGCAACGAUGCGUAGCCGACCUGAGAGGGUGAUCGGCCACACUGGAACUGAGACACGGUCCAGACUCCUACGGGAGGCAGCAGUAGGGAAUCUUCCGCAAUGGGCGAAAGCCUGACGGAGCAACGCCGCGUGAGUGAUGAAGGUCUUCGGAUCGUAAAACUCUGUUAUUAGGGAAGAACAAAUGUGUAAGUAACUAUGCACGUCUUGACGGUACCUAAUCAGAAAGCCACGGCUAACUACGUG
rnacentral:rRNA from 1 species